GACGAACGCUGGCGGCGUGCUUAACACAUGCAAGUCGAACGAAGUGGCGAACGGGUGAGUAACGCGUAAUCAACCUGCCCUUCAGAGGGGGACAACAGUUGGCAACGACUGCUAAUCCCGCAUACUGAAGGAGGGGAUUGCGUCUGAUUCGCUGGUUGGAGGGGUAAAGGCCCACCAAGGCGAUGAUCAGUAGCCGGUCGGAGAGGAAGAACGGCCAAAUUGGGACUGGGACACGGCCCAGACUCCUACGGGAUGCAGCAGUGGGGAAUCUUUCGAAAUGGACGAAAGUCUGACGGAGCAACGCCGCGUGAGUGAGGACGGCCUUCGGGUUGUAAAGCUCUGUUAAUCGGGACGCGGUACCGGAAUAGAAAGCCACGGCUAACUACGUGCCAGCAGCCGCGGUAAUUC
rnacentral:rRNA from 1 species